rnacentral:rRNA from 1 species
AACGAACGCUGGCGGCAUGCCUAACACAUGCAAGUCGAACGAGACCUUCGGGACUAGUGGCGCACGGGUGCGUAACGCGUGGGAAGCUGCCCUUAGGCUCGGAAUAACUCCCCGAAAGGGGUGCUAAUGCCGGAUAAUGUCUUCGGACAAAAGAUAUAUCGCCUUUGGAUGGGCCCGCGAUGGUUUAGCUAGUUGGUAGGGUAAAAGCCUACCAAGGCGACGAUCCAUAGCUGGUCUGAGAGGAUGAUCAGCCACACUGGGACUGAGACACGGCCCAGACUCCUACGGGAUGCAGCAGUGGCUAAUAUUGGACAAUGGGCGAAAGCCUGAUCCAGCACUGCCGCGUGAGUGAUGUAGUCCUUAGGGUUGUAAAGCUCUUUUACCCGGGAUUAUACUGACAGUACCGGGAGAAUAAGCUCCGGCUAACUCCGUG